rnacentral:ncRNA from 1 species
UUAAAAGCGCGGAUGAGGAUAAGUAGUUUUGCGGAUCAGGAUUUACAGAGAGCCGGGCAGGCUGAGAGCCGGCAUUCCUGCCGCAUCAUGAACUCCCCUCAGAGCGCCGGCCUGAAAGCUUGACGAGUAGGGCCGGCCGGGUGUGAGAGCACCCGUUAUCAAAAAGGAUGGCUCUGCCGUCCAUAAGUGCACGCAAAUUGCGUGAAUCAGGGUGGUACCGUGGAACAGGCUGACAAAGCCUUUUCAUCCCUUCG